GACAGAGGUGCCGAGCGUUAGGCGGAAUCACUGGGCUUAAAGCGCGUGUAGGCGGCCCGGCACGUCCGUCGCUGAAAUCCCCCGGCUCAACCGGGGAAGGGGCGCGGAUACGACCGGGCUGGAGGGGGGUAGGGGGAGCCGGAACUUCCGGUGGAGCGGUGAAAUGCGUUGAGAUCGGAAGGAACGCCCGUGGCGAAAGCGGGCUCCUGGACCCCACCUGACGCUGAGACGCGAAAGCCAGGGGAGCGAACGGG
rnacentral:rRNA from 1 species